rnacentral:rRNA from 1 species
GAUGAACGCUGGCGGCGUGCCUAAUACAUGCAAGUCGAGCGAACAGACGAGGAGCUUGCUCCUCUGACGUUAGCGGCGGACGGGUGAGUAACACGUGGAUAACCUACCUAUAAGACUGGGAUAACUUCGGGAAACCGGAGCUAAUACCGGAUAAUAUAUUGAACCGCAUGGUUCAAUAGUGAAAGACGGUUUUGCUGUCACUUAUAGAUGGAUCCGCGCCGCAUUAGCUAGUUGGUAAGGUAACGGCUUACCAAGGCGACGAUGCGUAGCCGACCUGAGAGGGUGCUCGGCCCCACUGAACCUGAGACACGGCCCAGACUCCUAGGGGAGGCAGCAGUAGGAAAUCUUCCGCAAUGGGCGAAAGCCUGACGGAGCAACGCAGCGUGAGUGAUGAAGGUCUUCGGAUCGUAAACCUCUGUUAUUAGAGAAGAACAAAUGUGUAAGUAACUAUACACGUCUUGACGGUACCUAAUCAGAAAGCCACGGCUAACUACGUG